AGUGAACGCUGGCGGUAGGCCUAACACAUGCAAGUCGAACGGCAGCACAGUAAGAGCUUGCUCUUACGGGUGGCGAGUGGCGGACGGGUGAGGAAUACAUCGGAUUCCACUUUUUCGUGGGGGAUAACGUAGGGAAACUUACGCUAAUACCGCAUACGUCCUACGGGUGAAAGCAGGGGUUCUUCGGACCUUGCGCGAUUGUAUGAGCCGAUGUCGGAUUAGCUAGUUGGCGGGGUAAAGGCCCACCAAGGCGACGAUCCGUAGCUGGUCUGAGAGGAUGAUCAGCCACACUGGAACUGAGACACGGUCCAGACUCCUACGGGAGGCAGCAGUGGGGAAUAUUGGACAAUGGGCGCAAGCCUGAUCCAGCCAUACCGCGUGGGUGAAGAAGGCCUUCGGGUUGUAAAGCCCUGUUGUUGGGAAAGAAAAGCAGCAGGUUAAUACCCCGCUGUUCUGACGGUACCCAAAGAAUAAGCACCGGCUAACUUCGUG
rnacentral:rRNA from 1 species